rnacentral:tRNA from 1 species
GCCCUGCUAGCUCAAUCGGUAGAGCGUGAGACUUUUACGAGCCUCGGCAAGCUUAGAAAGGAAAUUUGAACCUUAAAUCUCAAGGCUGCGGGUUCGAGCCCCGCGUGGGGCU